UGGGUUACAGGGCGGAGAGAGUGAGGAGGCUGCGUCUGGCUCCCGCUCUCACAGCCAUUGCAGUACAUUGAGCUCCAUAGAGACAGCGCCGGGGCAAGUGAGAGCCGGACGGGCACUGGGCGACUCUGUGCCUCGCUGAGGAAAAAUAACUAAACACGGGCAAAGGAGAUCCUAAGAAGAAGAAAGGCAAAAUGUCAUCAUAUGCAUUUUUUGUGCAAACUUGUCGGGAGGAGCACAAGAAGAAGCACCCAGAUGCUUCAGUCGACUUCUCAGAGUUUUCUAAGAAGUGCUCAGAGAGGUGGAAGACCAUGUCUGCUAAAAAGAAAGGAAAAUUUGAAGAUAUGGCAAAGGCGGAUAAGGCCCGUUAUGAGAGUGAAAUGAAAACCUAUAUUCCUCCUAAAGGGGAGACAAAAAAGAAGUUCAAGGGUCCCAAUGCACCCAAGAGGCCUCCUUCGGCCUUUUUCCUGUUCUGCUCUGAGUAUCGCCCAAAAAUCAAAGGAGAACAUCCUGGCCUGUCCACUGGCGAUGUUGUGAAGAAACUGGGAGAGAUGUGGAAUAACACUGCUGCAGAUGACAAGCAGCCUUAUGAAAAGAAGGCUGCGAAGCUGAAGGAAAAAUACGAAAAGGAUAUUGCUGCAUAUCGAGCUAAAGGAAAGCCUGAUGCAGCCAAAAAGGGAGUUGUCAAGGCUGAAAAAUGCAAGAAAAAGAAGGAGGAGGAGGAGGAAGAUGAGGAAGAUGAAGAGGAUGAGGAGGAAGAGGAAGAUGAAGAAGAUGAAGAUGAAGAAGAUGAUGAUGAUGAAUAAGUUGGUUCUAGCGCAGUUUUGUUUCUUGUCUAUUAAAGCAUUUAACCCCCCUGUACACAACUCACUCCUUUUAGAGAAAAAAAUUGAAAUGUAAGGCUGUGUAAGAUUUGUUUUUAAACUGUACAGUGUCUUUUUUUGUAUAGUUAACACACUACCGAAUGUGUCUUUAGAUGGCCCUGUCCUGGUGGUAUUUUCAAUAGCCACUAACCUUGCCUGGUACAGUAUGGGGGUUGUAAAUUGGCAUGGAAAUUUAAAGCAGGUUCUUGUUGGUUCACAGCACAAAUUAGUUAUAUAUGGGGAUGGUAGUUUUUUCAUCUUCAGUUGUCUCUGAUGCAGCUUAUACGAAAUAAUUGUUGUUCUGUUAACUGAAUACCAGUCUGUAAUUGCAAAAAAAAAAAAAAAAAAAAAAAAGUUGCAGCUGUUUUGUUGACAUUCUGAAUGCUUCUAAGUAAAUACAAUUUUUUUUAA